GGCUACGUAGCCUCAGUUGGUUAGAGCACAUCACUCAUAAUGAUGGGGUCACAGGUUCGAAUCCCGUCGUAGCCA
rnacentral:tRNA from 1 species